CCCUAGCCCCGAUGGGAACGGCAUCCUUUUUUAUUUUUUUUUGUGCUAAGCUUCAAUUAAAAAACAAACCGUGUAAAAAAAUAAAAAAGAUAUAGUGGACAGCGGGAUUAAGC
rnacentral:sRNA from 1 species